CCCUUAGAUGUCCUGGGCCGCACGCGCGCUACACUGAUGCAUUCAACGAGUUUUACCUUGGCCGAGAGGCCUGGGCGAUCUUUUAAACCUGCAUCGUGAUAGGGAUAGAUUAUUGCAAUUAUUAAUCUUGAACGAGGAAUUCCUAGUAAACGCAAAUCAUCAAUUUGCAUUGAUUACGUCCCUGCCCUUUGUACACACCGCCCGUCGCACCUACCGAUUGAAUGGUCCGGUGAAGCCUCGGGAUUGUGGCCAGUUCACUUUAUUGGGAGUUGGCUGUGAGAACUUGUCUAAACCUUAUCAUUUAGAGGAAGGUGAAGUCGUAACA
rnacentral:rRNA from 1 species